UAUUUGAUAGUCCCUUACUACUUGGAUAACCGUAGUAAUUCUAGAGCUAAUACAUGCGUCAAUGCCCUUUUGGGGUAGUAUUUAUUAGAUAGAAGCCAACCCCUUCGGGGUGAUGUGGUGAUUCAUGAUAAGCAUGCGGAUUGCACGGCUUUGUCGGCAAUGGAUCAUUCAAGUUUCUUCCCUAUCAGCUUUGGACGGUAAGGUAUUGGCUUACCGUGGCUUUAACGGGUAACGGAAAAUUAGGGUUUGAUUCCGGAGAGGGAGCCUGAGAGAUGGCUACCACAUCCAAGGAAGGCAGCAGGCGCGUAAAUUACCCCAAUCUAGAAACUAGGAGGUAGUGACCAAUAAAUAACAAUGCCGGGCCUUGGUAGGUCUGGCAAUUGGAAUGGAGAACAAUUUAAAUCCCUUUAUCGANGGAUCAAUUGGAAGG
rnacentral:rRNA from 1 species